rnacentral:rRNA from 1 species
GAUGAACGCUGGCGGCGUGCCUAAUACAUGCAAGUCGAGCGAACAGACGAGAGAGCUUGCCCUCUCUGACGUUAGCGGCGGACGGGUGAGUAACACGUGGGUAACCUACCUAUAAGACUGGGAUAACUUCGGGAAACCGGAGCUAAUACCGGAUAAUAUUUAGCUUCGCAUGAAGCAAUAGUGAAAGACGGUUCUGCUGUCACUUAUAGAUGGACCCGCGGUGUAUUAGCUAGUUGGUGAGGUAACGGCUCACCAAGGCAACGAUACAUAGCCGACCUGAGAGGGUGAUCGGCCACACUGGGACUGAGACACGGCCCAGACUCCUACGGGAGGCAGCAGUAGGGAAUCUUCCGCAAUGGACGAAAGUCUGACGGAGCAAUGCCGCGUGAGUGAAGAAGGUUUUCGGAUCGUAAAACUCUGUUGUAAGGGAAGAACAAGUACGUUAGUAACUGAACGUACCUUGACGGUACCUUACCAGAAAGCCACGGCUAACUACGUG